rnacentral:lncRNA from 1 species
UGUGGUCAAGCAUUGGGAAUAGAGCAAUCAACUGACCUCACCACCACAAAAGGACUGGACAUGGUUCUGAACCCGAAGCCAUUGAUGUUGAGCUGGUAGAAUUGUUUGCAGAAGGGGCCGAAAUGCCUAGCAAUGUUCUAAGGCAUCGAGCUGGCAGAAUGGUCAGCCUGCUGGGGGAAACGCUUAGUGUCAUGUCAUCCAUCACUACACUCUGAGUUCAAGUUCUGCCAAGGUCAGCUUUACCUUUCAUCCUUUUGGGGGUCAAUAAAACAGUGGAGCCCUUGGAUCGAUAUCAUUCACUUACCCCACUCCCCCAAAUAUUUCAGGCAUGGUGCCUAUAGUGGACAGGAUUAUUAUCAUUAUCAUCGUUGUUGUCGUUGUUGUUGUUAUUCAAAAUAGUAGUAGUAGUAGUAGUUGUUGUUGUAGUAGUAGUAGUAGUAGUUGUUGUUGUUGUUGUAGCUGUAGUAGUAGUAGUAGUAGUAGCUGUUGUUGUUGUUGUUGUUGUUUUUGUAGUAGUAGUAGUAGUAGUAGUAGUAGUAGUAGUAGUAGUAGUAGUAGUAGUAGUAGUAGUAGCAGCAGCAGUAGUAUUUAGGCAGUAACCUGCAGAAUUGCUAGUAUGUGUGUGUUUUAUUAGCAAGCGAAUGUUCUCUUCCAGCUUCCUAUUCUGCAUCCAAAAUUGCACCCCAGGUCACCUUCGUCUUUCGUCCUCCUCCUGCAGUCAAUAAAACAACCACCAUCCAUUCUGACUUCAGAGCAAAACACAUUCAAAUUAUAUUCGCACAUCCAUCACAAAGAAGAUGCAGCUUUUUUUUAUUCUUUUAUCCUUUAAAAUUAUUUUCUCUUUUCCCCUUUGUUUUUUCUUUCCCUUAAAUCCUUUCAUUCAAACACUCAUAUGUCAAAAUCAACAGAAGUGACCAUCAUUAUCAGUAUUAUCAUUAUUAUUAUUAUUAUUAUUAUUAUUAUUAUUAUUUUUAUUAUUAUUGUUAUUGCCUUUGCACAGCUUCUAACGCUGGAGAUCUACUACGGUGUCAGCUGUUCACUACCAGUAAACUAAGGUAACACCCUUAUUUUUCGAGCACCUUCCGGAGUAUUCGAGCAGUUCCUAGCAGUGCUGUUUUCUGUAAGUGCUCCACCCUUAUUGCAGCCCCUAUUUGUUCCACAUACUUCUCAAGAUUUUUACUCACUAUUCCCAGGUGAGGUAAGAGAAUCGUUUGCACUCCUGACAAAAUUCUCAUUGGCAUUUCAGACAUCUUUACAUUCUGAGUUCAAAUUCUGCCGAGGUUGACUUUGCCUUUCAUCCCUUUCAGGAUCAAUGAAAUAAGUGUUGGGGUGGGGGUCGAUGUAAGGGAUUGACCUCCUCCCCUGAAAUUACUGGCCUUCUGCCGAAUCUUCUGCAAAAUUCUUUCAUGUUUCUCCUGGGAGAUUUACACUUAUAACUUAUGCUUCUGGGAAGAUGUGAAUGUAUGUACACCAUGCACACACAUGUAUGUGUGUGCAUGGGUAGUCUUUUAUUAAAAGAGAAACAGAGAGUCUCACAACACAAGUUCCAUCCCACUGCAAUUUGCCAGUGAAUCAUUCCACAUCAUAUUCAUAUAUAUAUAUAUAUAUAUAUAUAUAUAUACAUACACACACACACACAUGUAUAUAUAUAUAUAUAUAUAUAUAUAUAUAUAUAUACAUAGGGUACAUCAUAUAUAUAUAUAUAUAUGUAUGCAUUUUCUUUUUAUUCCUGCUCAGACCUGUGAUCAAAUGCAUACCAACCAUGACCAUCCCCUCUUUUAUUCAAGUAUAUCAAGGACAACAUUAUACAAUGUAUCCUUCUCUUUUUAAGACAGUUUGAUGUGAGUGGAAGGAGAUUUUGCUGUUGUUUCUAGUUGGGGGUCAAUGUGGCUGCAUACAGACUCUUCUAUUAGCGAAUGGAUGUAUGCAUGGAUGGAUGGAUGGAUGGAGGGAUGGAGGGAGGGAUGGAUGUAAACAUGCAUGAAUGUAUGUGUGUGUGUAUGUGUUUUUUUAAACCUGGCUGUGCAUAUGUAUAUGUAUGCAUAUUUAUAUUUGAAUGUAUAUAUAUAUAUAU